rfam:Triticum aestivum genome assembly, contig: Triticum_aestivum_CS42_TGACv1_scaffold_404934_5BL
AUCAUACUCCCUCCGUCCAAAAAUACUUGUCAUCAAAAUGAAUAAAAGGGGAUGUAUCUAGAUGUAUUUUAGUUCUAGAUACAUCCCCUUUUGUCCAUUUUGAUGACAAGUAUUUUCUAACAGAGGGAGUAGUAU